GUAGUCAUAUGCUUGUCUCAAAGAUUAAGCCAUGCAUGUUUGAGUCUAUGCCUUUACACGGUUAAGUUGCGAAUGGCUCAUUAUAACAGUAAUGAUCUAUUUGAUGAUUAUCGUUACAUGGAUAACUACAGUAAUUCUGGAGCCAAUACAUGUUUCAACGCCCUACUAAAUAGCCAUACGUGGCCUAGGCUACGUGGGUAAGCUUCUUAGAGGGACUUUGUAUGUUCAAUGCAAGGAAGUCAGAGGCAAUAAUAGGUCUGUGAUGCCCUUAGAUGUUCUGGGCUGCACGCGCGCUACACUGAUGCAUUCAAUGAGUGUAUUUCCUUGCCUGGAAGGGUUGGGUAAUCUCUUUAAAUUGCAUCGUGAUGGGGAUAGAUUCUUGUAAUUAUUAGUCUUCAACGAGGAAGUCCUAGUAAAUAUGAGUCAAUAUCUUGUAUUGAUUACGUGCUUGUCUUUUGUAAAUACCGCCCGUCGCUCCUACCGAUUGUGUGCUUCGGUGAAUAAUUCGGACCGUUCUUCAUAAGAGUCUCUUUCUGAGGAGUGGAAAGUUUGGUGAACCAUAGCAUAUAGAGGAAGGAGAAGUCGUAACAAGGUUUCCGUAGGUGAACCUGCGGA
rnacentral:rRNA from 1 species